UACGGGGGGAGCAAGCGUUGUUCGGAUUUACUGGGCGUAAAGGGCGCGUAGGCGGCCGCGACAAGUCACUUGUGAAAUCUCCGGGCUUAACUCGGAACGGUCAAGUGAUACUGUCGGGCUAGAGUGCAGAAGGGGCAACUGGAAUUCUCGGUGUAGCGGUGAAAUGCGUAGAUAUCGACCGGAACUCCGGUGGCGAAGGCGAGGUGCUGGACCCUUUCUGACGCUGAGGCGCGAAAGCCAGGGGAGCAAACGGG
rnacentral:rRNA from 1 species